GAUGAACGCUGGCGGCGUGCCUAAUACAUGCAAGUCUAGCGAACGGACGAGAAGCUUGCUUCUCUGAUGUUAGCGGCGGACGGGUGAGUAACACGUGGAUAACCUACCUAUAAGACUGGGAUAACUUCGGGAAACCGGAGCUAAUACCGGAUGAUAUUUUGAACCGCAUGGUUCAAAAGUGAAAGACGGUCUUGCUGUCACUUAUAGAUGGAUCCGCGCUGCAUUAGCUAGUUGGUAAGGUAACGGCUUACCAAGGCAACGAUGCAUAGCCGACCUGAGAGGGUGAUCGGCCACACUGGAACUGAGACACGGUACAGACUCCUACGGGAGGCAGCAGUAGGGAAUCUUCCGCAAUGGGCGAAAGCCUGACGGAGCAACGCCGCGUGAGUGAUGAAGGUCUUCGGAUCGUAAAACUCUGUUAUUAGGGAAGAACAUAUGUGUAAGUAACUGUGCACAUCUUGACGGUACCUAAUCAGAAAGCCACGGCUAACUACGUG
rnacentral:rRNA from 1 species